CUGCUAAAGACAUUCUGCCUGGCUGCCAAUUAUUGUGUCUGCAGGAAAAGAGAAUGAUUGGAAUCUAGAAAGAGUAAUGAUUAGAAAAAAAUCAAGUGGUCAGUUUACUUCCUGCUAACAUGUAUGUGUGGCUCCAUCAACAUUUCCCUCCUCCAAUACCAAAAAAAAUGGUAAAGAAUAAAUGUGCGUACAAAUUUUGUUUUUGUUUGUAGCACUUAUAAUUAAUGAUGUUGAAAAAAGUGUCAAGGAGCUAAGUGUUAUAUAUUUUUCGCCAAAAGUACACUUACUAACUAUUUUGCGUUACUUAUCCCAAAUGUCUAACUUGUAUUUUUUUCACAUUUUUUUGGGUGGCUGCUUGCUCUGCCCUUUGCCUUUAGCACUGUCACGUUGUCGUGCUCUGGUGGAGCGUCUUGGUGGUGAUGAGACUGGCGUGAUAUUUGGAGUAGUCGUACCAGAACUGCUGCUUGUUUGCUGUUGGUGCAUGCAUCUGAGUGUUUCAUUCAGCAUCUUACACACAAUGUCAUACUGUAUGGCUCAAGUGGACAUACAUAUCUUUACUGGAUGUGGACAAGGACAUUUAGCUUGGAUUACAUUUCAGCUUUUACUUACUGCGUUUGAUACUCACAAUCAAGAUGAGGGGAGUGUGGAUGACGUCUUGGACGUGUGUCCAAAAUUUGGAGUGGUAGGACAGAACAUACGGACGAUAAUCUUCGUGGCGGGGUAGCCUGCUGUGUUUGGGCCGGGACAUACGACCUUGCUUUCUUUUCGGCCACAGGUUUUUUGUGGUGAUGUCUUUCAGAAUUGCCACUUCUGCUGCUCCAUACUUCUUUUGAUGGACCUUUUAAUGAAAGUGCAAUUUUGUUAUGGCCAUUCCUUUACAAGCAUACCCUAUACUACAAUGGACACUUUACCUGCUUCCGCAGCGUCAUCAUCAGAUGUGAUAGGAGUUACUGGCCGACGAGUAGUACUGCUUUUUUCAAACACUGUAUAAAAUAAAAAUAAAAAAAAAUUUAAUCAUGCUAUUGUGUAUACAUC